rnacentral:piRNA from 1 species
UCCCAAAGGCACCAGAGACUGCA